UUUCAGCUUUGACUAUGAGAGAAAAUAUUUUCAAUAUGAAUUUUACCGCAGACAGCUUGACCCUUGUGCACUGUAUUAAAACUGUGCCAACGGUCAUAAAUAAUACCAUCACAACACCAUUUUGGAGUAACAAAACAACGACAUCAGGUAGGUAGAUAUUUCAUUUUAAUAGUUGAUAUCAAAUACAUGUAAUAAGUCCUAUUUAUUCUGACCCUAGCUAUACCACACAAGAAACAAUUUGCAAUCAAGACAACCGAUCAAGUCAUCAGAUAUCUUCAUGGUUAUCUUACAUUUUGAUUGAUAUGGGUGCUAGGGUUCCUGCAUGCAUAAUCAUGGAAACUGACCUUUAAAAAAAUGGGCGAACAUGCAAAUCCGAAAUUCUUUUUAAUCAGUAAAUUGAUUGCAAUCAAAUUAUCACGGGUCCGUACGAUACGAUAACAUUGUGGACCUCUUGAUUUACCUUUUUAUUAGAAUGUCUUUUUGUAAAUUCAUUUAUUGAGGCGUUCCAUCGUCCAUCCGCAAGUCAUCCUACGCUUGAGAGAUCAUUGCAAUCAAACAUAUAGUCAUCCUCAUUACAGGACUCCAUAUUACACCUCAUAUUUGCAUGCUGAUUAGAGUAGUUUCUGGGGUUUCCCAUACACAAAAAUGAUAUCUGCCUCUUUAUAUUAUAAUAGACGUGAACUUCUUAUAUCCGCCACUCCUUAUGAAAAAAUGGCAUUUUUCAAUCAAACAUAAUCUGUUCUUCAUUAAACAUCUAGAGCGUGAAAUGCUAUUUUUUUCUGUUACGAUACAUAUCUUUCCUAGGGUUUCACAUAUAAACCACCGAAUUCGUCCUUUCAUUUUUAAAGUGCUGUAUAUUCCCAAUCUGCGACAUGUUCUAAAAGAAGUAAGUUUAUUUCAAACAAUGAUAAUUGUUUGCAGAUUUUGAAUGGCAUAAUCAUAUUGUCCACUUCAUUUUAUUCUACUUUUUUGCGUUUCAUUUUCAAAGUUUCCUUUAUUGAUACAAUAACUUCGUAGUUCAAUUAUUGAGAGAUACUGCUUUUGAAUAGCUUAAUGCUUUUUAUUACCGAUAGACGUAAUUAAAUCUCGUGGGUUUUUCAUACAGUACUUAAAGUUGAUGUUUAAUGUUCAAUACGCAAGGUUCUUAGUUACAAACAUGAAUUUAUAAAAAUUAUUAGUACACCCGUUUAAAAGGGGAUUAAUAUACUAUAAUUUUAUACUAUGAACUUACACUAAAAUAUAUUUACAGACACAUCGUCAUCGAUAAAUGAAUCGUCAGAAGUAGAAACAAUGGUUUCUAUGAUUUUUGUAAUGGUGUUGAUGAUUAUCUUGUAUGCAGCUGGUUGUCGACUGUUCUCCAAGGAAAAGUACCAUGAUUCUUUGAAGAAGGC
rnacentral:lncRNA from 1 species